AUUUAGAGGAAGUAAAAGUCGUAACAAGGUUUCCGUAGGUGAACCUGCGGAAGGAUCAUUACAGUAUUCUUUUUGCCAGCGCUUAAUUGCGCGGCGAAAAAACCUUACACACAGUGUUUUUUGUUAUUACAAGAACUUUUGCUUUGGUCUGGACUAGAAAUAGUUUGGGCCAGAGGUUACUAAACUAAACUUCAAUAUUUAUAUUGAAUUGUUAUUUAUUUAAUUGUCAAUUUGUUGAUUAAAUUCAAAAAAUCUUCAAAACUUUCAACAACGGAUCUCUUGGUUCUCGCAUCGAUGAAGAACGCAGCGAAAUGCGAUAAGUAAUAUGAAUUGCAGAUUUUCGUGAAUCAUCGAAUCUUUGAACGCACAUUGCGCCCUCUGGUAUUCCAGAGGGCAUGCCUGUUUGAGCGUCAUUUCUCUCUCAAACCUUCGGGUUUGGUAUUGAGUGAUACUCUUAGUCGAACUAGGCGUUUGCUUGAAAUGUAUUGGCAUGAGUGGUACUGGAUAGUGCUAUAUGACUUUCAAUGUAUUAGGUUUAUCCAACUCGUUGAAUAGUUUAAUGGUAUAUUUCUCGGUAUUCUAGGCUCGGCCUUACAAUAUAACAAACAAGUUGACCUCAAAUCAGGUAGGAU
rnacentral:rRNA from 1 species